GAUAAACGCUGGCGGCGUGCAUGAGACAUGCAAGUCGAACGAAGGAUCGGGCUUGCUCGAUCCUUAGUGGCGGACGGCUGAGUAACGCGUAGGUGACCUACCCCGAAGUGGGGAAUAACUGCCCGAAAGGGUGGCUAAUACCGCAUGUGGUCGCACGUUCAUUCGUGCGAGUAAAGCCGCAAGGCGCUUCGGGAGGGGCCUGCGUCCGAUUAGCUCGUUGGUGGGGUAAUGGCUUACCAAGGCGACGAUCGGUAGGUGGUCUGAGAGGACGAUCACCCAGACUGGGACUGAGACACGGCCCAGACUCCUACGGGAGGCAGCAGUCGGGAAUUUUGCUCAAUGGGGGAACCCUGAAGCAGCAACGCCGCGUGAGGGAUGAAGGCCUUCGGGUUGUAAACCUCUUUUGUCAGGGACGAUGAUGACGGUACCUGGCGAAUAAGCCACGGCUAACUACGUG
rnacentral:rRNA from 1 species